rnacentral:rRNA from 2 species
AAACUUUCAACAACGGAUCUCUUGGCUCCGGCAUCGAUGAAGAACGCAGCGAAAUGCGAUAAGUAAUGUGAAUUGCAGAAUUCAGUGAAUCAUCGAAUCUUUGAACGCACAUUGCGCCCCUUGGUAUUCCGAGGGGCAUACCUGUUCGAGCGUUAUUU